UACGUAGGGUGCAAGCGUUAAUCGGAAUUACUGGGCGUAAAGCGUGCGUAGGCGGCUAUGUAAGACAGAUGUGAAAUCCCUGGGCUUAACCUAGGAACUGCAUUUGUGACUGCAUUGCUAGAGUGUGGUAGAGGGAGAUGGAAUUCCGCAUGUAGCAGUGAAAUGCGUAGAUAUGCGGAGGAACACCGAUGGCGAAGGCAAUCCCCUGGGCCUGCACUGACGCUCAUGCACGAAAGCGUGGGGAGCAAACAGG
rnacentral:rRNA from 1 species